UCUCUCUCUCUCUCUCUCUCACAUCCUAAUAAGCAAGUGGUUUUACAGCACACAAGCAAGAAACCUGGUGGGCAGCCAUGCCUGGAUCUUACUUUUGCGGGUUGUGCAAAAGGAAGGGAGACGCUAAUCGCCAACCCGGAGCAGAGGAAAGACCAAUUCCAAUACAAGCAGCUAAUGACAGUGCAGUGGAAGGUGUUCCAACGUACACCUAUGAAGAACUAGCCAAAGCAACUGGAAGUUUCUCCAACAAAAACCGCCUUGGCGAGGGUGCUUCUGGUCAAGUUUAUAAGGGAAAACUUCCAAAUGAUAACAAAGUCGUUGCAAUUAAGAGGCUUAAACAUUUUUCUGAUCCGGAGAAAGAGAAAACAGCGCAAAAUCAAUUUGAGGAGGAGGCUAAAAUCAUUGGCCGCGUCCAUCACCAAAAUAUUGUGGAGGUGUUUGGAUACUGCAGUGAAAAAGAAGAUAGAUUGCUUGUUUAUGAGUUUGUUUCCAACAAGUCAUUGAAAUUUCAUUUGCUUAAAAGCCAGACAAUCGAUUGGGCAAGCCGAAUGAAAAUUGCUUUGGGUACAGCAGAAGGAUUGACACAUUUACAUGAAGGCUGUGAGUAGUUAACUUUUUUUUUUUUCAGUUUUAUGAUAUUAAUAUCUUGAAUUUCAUACUCUUUUUAUAUGUUUUAGGUCAUCCUAGAAUCAUCCAUCGAGAUAUUAAAAGUGAUAAUAUUCUUCUCAAUGAUAAAUUUGAGCCAAAGGUAUGAUGUUUAUGAGAUUAAAACAUUGUUGGCUGGCCAUAUAUAACUCUUGCUAUAUAAUAAUUUAUGUUUACAAUAAAAACUUGUGCAAACUAACUCAAUAUCUGCACAUUUUAAUUUUUGAAUCAAUUGUUAAAUAUUAAAAAUGAAAAUAAAGAGUUAUAUAUAUGAUUAUUGAUCAAAUAUUUUUUAAAUUAAUCGAAACUUGUUGCGUUUUCAAUUUAAGUUAAAUGACAUAAUAAAUUUACUUCAGUCAUUUUUCCCCUUCAGAUUGGCGAUUUUGGACUUUCCAAAGAUUUUGCAGAUUCUGCUACUCACGUUUCCACUGAUCCAAAGGGAACUCCUGCUUAUGCCCCUCCUGAAUAUUAUAUUAAAGAUGGCCAAGAAAGGAAGCUCACUGAUAAGUCUGAUGUCUUUUCCUUCGGUGUUGUGCUUCUAGAGUUAAUUACAGGGAAAUUAGCUGCUUUUGAAAAGAAACGCAAUGAACGCGUUCGCUUAGCUAUUUGGGCAGUGCCUCUACUCAAACAAAUUUUGGAUACAGACAAACAAGAAUUGGAUGCAAAGAAUUGUAAAGAUCUUUUUGAUUUGAAAUUAAAGAAAAAAUAUGAUAAAGAUGAAAUGAUUCGAAUGAUUUAUUGUGUUGCGGCUUGUGUAUAUAAACCUACGAAGUUACGCCCACAAAUGAGCCAGCGUUUAAUUUGUUAUGGGCUUCAACUCUUUUCAUCUUAAAAAACGGAGAGAGAGAUUUGUCUAUAUGGUACUUGAAGUACUAAAAGGAAAUAUGGAGCCGAAGAAUAUAUGGGUCAGAAAUGAUAGUAAAUACCUAUACGAAGGGUCACCAUAUGCUUCAUUACCUACAUUAGCUGAGGAAACCCCGGACUCUUAAAGCCUCUAUUUGAUAUUGAAAUUGUGAAUUAACAUCGCUUUGAAAAAAAGAUUUAUGAUAAAAUAGUGUUUUUGAGGGAUUAAAAAGUAAUUGUGCAAGUAAGGAGUGAUUUCCAAAUCUAAAAGUGCUAAAAUGAAGCUUGAAAAUUGAAGAAUGUGAAGUUGCCGAAAUCUGCAUAACUUAUUGCACAGGCUGUGCAGUUUUUACAUAGGAAUUAGAAGAAAUUGUGAACUUGUUGAAAUCUGCACAACGUGUCGCACUACUUGUGCACUUUCACGCAUUCUCUUGUGCAGUUUCACGGAAGAAAUAUCUAAAUGGCCGAAACUUAUACAACUGGCUGCAUAACUUGUGCAACUCCUUAUGCAGCUUCAUGGAAAAAUGUCUCAACUGGCCAAAACUUGCAUAACUUACUGCAUAACCUAUGCAGCUUGGUUGUGCUCUUUCACGAAAGACUUCAAAGCAUGCAGGAAUUUGCAUAGGCAACCUACACAGCUUGUGCAACUUCACGGGAAGCCUCUGGAAAUUGUCAGAUUUGCACAAGAUCUUGCACAACCUAUACACAUCUUCAUAAAUGAGCUGGAAGGAGAUUCUCCCACGUGAAUUGUUACCUCACACACACCAUUUUAGGGCUUUUGUCAGAGAAUAUAAAUAGAGAUUUUUUACCUCAUUUAGCAGCGGGAAGUAAGGGCAAGAAAGACAGAAAAAGGAAAGACAAGGAGAGCAGCAGCCACCACUUUCAUUUUUGGAUCGGAAAAUUGGAUUCUUCUUCUCUUCUUCACAUUUUCUGCACUUCUUCUAUCGGGUUUCUUAAAGUUUUAGUUUAUUUUCAUGAUUU
rnacentral:misc_RNA from 1 species